rnacentral:rRNA from 1 species
GACGAACGCUGGCGGCGUGCUUAACACAUGCAAGUCGAACGGAAAGGCCUUUUCGGCGGUACUCGAGUGGCGAACGGGUGAGUAACACGUGGGUGAUCUGCCCUGCACUCUGGGAUAAGCCUGGGAAACUAGGUCUAAUACCGGAUAGGACCGCACUUUAGUGUGUGUGGUGGAAAGUUUUUUCGGUGUAGGAUGAGCCCGCGGCCUAUCAGCUUGUUGGUGGGGUAAUGGCCUACCAAGGCGGCGACGGGUAGCCGGACUGAGAGGUUGGUCGGCCACAUUGGGACUGAGAUACGGCCCAGACUCCUACGGGAGGCAGCAGUGGGGAAUAUUGCACAAUGGGCGCAAGCCUGAUGCAGCGACGCCGCGUGGGGGAUGACGGCCUUCGGGUUGGAAACUCCUUUCGCCAGGGACGAAGCGUUUUGUGACGGUACCUGGAGAAGAAGCACCGGCUAACUACGUG